CAGCCGCCGCGGGAAUACGUAGGGUGCAAGCGUUAAUCGGAAUUACUGGGCGUAAAGCGUGCGCAGGCGGUUAUAUAAGACAGAUGUGAAAUCCCCGGGCUCAACCUGGGAACUGCAUUUGUGACUGUAUAGCUAGAGUACGGCAGAGGGGGAUGGAAUUCCGCGUGUAGCAGUAAAAUGCGUAGAUAUGCGGAGGAACACCGAUGGCGAAGGCAAUCCCCUGGGCCUGUACUGACGCUCAUGCACGAAAGCGUGGGGAGCAAACAGGAUUAGAUACCCCCGUAGUCCCUGUCUCUUAUAC
rnacentral:rRNA from 1 species